rnacentral:rRNA from 1 species
UACGUAGGCAGCAAGCGUUGUUCGGAAUUACUGGGCGUAAAGAGUGUGUAGGCGGUGCUCUAAGUUCGGUGUGAAAUCUCCCGGCUCAACUGGGAGGGUGCGCCGGAAACUGGAAUGCUUGAGCGUGGGAGAGGAAAGCGGAAUUCCUGGUGUAGCGGUGAAAUGCGUAGAUAUCAGGAGGAACACCGGUGGUGUAGACGGCUUUCUGGACCGUAACUGACGCUGAGACACGAAAGCGUGGGGAGCAAACAGG